rnacentral:rRNA from 1 species
UACGUAGGGGGCGAGCGUUGUCCGGAUUUAUUGGGCGUAAAGAGCUCGUAGGCGGUUCGGUAAGUCGGAUGUGAAAUCUCCACGCUCAACGUGGAGGGGCCAUUCGAUACUGCCGUGACUCGAGUCCGGUAGGGGAGUGUGGAAUUCCCGGUGUAGCGGUGAAAUGCGCAGAGAUCCGGAAGAACACCGGUGGCGAAGGCGGUCUGCUGGGCAGUUGCUGACACUGAGGCGCGACAGCGUGGGGAGCAAACAGGG